rnacentral:rRNA from 1 species
UACGGAGGGAGCUAGCGUUGUUCGGAAUUACUGGGCGUAAAGCGCACGUAGGCGGCGAUUUAAGUCAGAGGUGAAAGCCCGGGGCUCAACCCCGGAACUGCCUUUGAGACUGGAUUGCUUGAAUCCUGGAGAGGUGAGUGGAAUUCCGAGUGUAGAGGUGAAAUUCGUAGAUAUUCGGAAGAACACCAGUGGCGAAGGCGGCUCACUGGACAGGUAUUGACGCUGAGGUGCGAAAGCGUGGGGAGCAAACAGGGAUUAGAUACCCUGGUAGUCCACGCCGUAAACGAUGAUAACUAGCUGCCGGGGCACAUGGUGUUUCGGUGGCGCAGCUAACGCAUUAAGUUAUCCGCCUGGGGAGUACGGUCGCAAGAUUAAAACUCA